rnacentral:rRNA from 1 species
UACAGAGGUCUCAAGCGUUGUUCGGAUUCACUGGGCGUAAAGGGUGCGUAGGUGGUGAGGUAAGUCUGAUGUGAAAUCUCCAAGCUUAACUUGGAAAUGGCAUUGGAAACUACCUUGCUAGAGGAUUGGAGGGGAGACUGGAAUUCUUGGUGUAGCAGUGAAAUGCGUAGAUAUCAAGAGGAACACCAGUGGCGAAAGCGGCCCUCUGGACCGGUACUGACGCUGAUGCGCGAAAGCGUGGGGAGCAAACGGG